rnacentral:rRNA from 1 species
GUUGUUUAACCUUCGGGGGACGACAACGGCGUCGAGCGGCGGACGGGUGAGUAAUGCCUGGGAAAUUGCCCUGAUGUGGGGGAUAACCAUUGGAAACGAUGGCUAAUACCGCAUGAUAGCUUCGGCUCAAAGAGGGGGACCUUCGGGCCUCUCGCGUCAGGAUAUGCCCAGGUGGGAUUAGCUAGUUGGUGAGGUAAGGGCUCACCAAGGCGACGAUCCCUAGCUGGUCUGAGAGGAUGAUCAGCCACACUGGAACUGAGACACGGUCCAGACUCCUACGGGAGGCAGCAGUGGGGAAUAUUGCACAAUGGGCGCAAGCCUGAUGCAGCCAUGCCGCGUGUAUGAAGAAGGCCUUCGGGUUGUAAAGUACUUUCAGCAGUGAGGAAGAUGGUGUGUUUAAUACGUACAUCAUUUGACGUUAGCUGCAGAAGAAGCACCGGCUAACUCCGUGCCAGCAGCCGCGGUAAUACGGAGGGUGCGAGCGUUAAUCGGAAUUACUGGGCGUAAAGCGCAUGCAGGUGGUUUGUUAAGUCAGAUGUGAAAGCCCGGGGCUCAACCUCGGAAUAGCAUUUGAAACUGGCAGACUAGAGUACUGUAGAGGGGGGUAGAAUUUCAGGUGUAGCGGUGAAAUGCGUAGAGAUCUGAAGGAAUACCGGUGGCGAAGGCGGCCCCCUGGACAGAUACUGACACUCAGAUGCGAAAGCGUGGGGAGCAAACAGGAUUAGAUACCCUGGUAGUCCACGCCGUAAACGAUGUCUACUUGGAGGUUGUGGCCUUGAGCCGUGGCUUUCGGAGCUAACGCGUUAAGUAGACCGCCUGGGGAGUACGGUCGCAAGAUUAAAACUCAAAUGAAUUGACGGGGGCCCGCACAAGCGGUGGAGCAUGUGGUUUAAUUCGAUGCAACGCGAAGAACCUUACCUACUCUUGACAUCCUCAGAAGAGACUGGAGACAGUCUUGUGCCUUCGGGAACUGAGAGACAGGUGCUGCAUGGCUGUCGUCAGCUCGUGUUGUGAAAUGUUGGGUUAAGUCCCGCAA